rnacentral:rRNA from 1 species
CGGGUGAGUAAUGCGUGACCAACCUGCCCCAUGCUCCAGAAUAGCUCUUGGAAACGGGUGGUAAUGCUGGAUGCUCCAACUUGACGCAUGUCUUGUUGGGAAAGUGUUUAGUGGCAUGGGAUGGGGUCGCGUCCUAUCAGCUUGUAGGCGGGGUAAUGGCCCACCUAGGCUUCGACGGGUAGCCGGCCUGAGAGGGCGGACGGCCACAUUGGGACUGAGAUACGGCCCAGACUCCUACGGGAGGCAGCAGA